AAUAUCAACAACAGAACUAACAAUGAAUGAAAAAUACCUAAGGUAAGGACCGGGCAUUCGGAGGCUCACAGCCCAUAGACAUACACACUAAAAGCCAAAGUAAGGAAGGCUCCUCUCCAUACGAAGGGGCGCGGGGAGGGAAACUGAGGCCAGGCGCUAGUUCCCACUCCCCGCUCUGCCCCCUCCUGCGAGCCAGACCCACAGCCAGGUCGUCUGGUGGCUGUGGCGUGCUGGAACCCGAGCCCAGUAGGCCUGGUGAACCGGGCUGUCGCCCGGUCCCCUCCUCUGCCUUCCCCUCCCUCUCCGGACCUCUCCCACGACCAGAGAGGAAGUGGGAGAGAAAAGGACAAGGGGGUUAAAAAAAAAAAA
rnacentral:lncRNA from 1 species